rnacentral:rRNA from 1 species
GUGGGGAAUAUUGGACAAUGGGGGGAACCCUGAUCCAGCCAUGCCGCGUGUGUGAAGAAGGCCUUUUGGUUGUAAAGCACUUUAAGCGAGGAGGAGGCUACCGAGAUUAAUACUCUUGGAUAGUGGACGUUACUCGCAGAAUAAGCACCGGCUAACUCUGUGCCAGCAGCCGCGGUAAUACAGAGGGUGCAAGCGUUAAUCGGAUUUACUGGGCGUAAAGCGCGCUUAGGUGGCCAAUUAAGUCAAAUGUGAAAUCCCCGAGCUUAACUUGGGAAUUGCAUUCGAUACUGGUUGGCUAGAGUAUGGAAGAGGAUGGUAGAAUUCCAGGUGUAGCGGUGAAAUGCGUAGAGAUCUGGAGGAAUACCGAUGGCGAAGGCAGCCAUCUGGCCUAAUACUGACACUGAGGUGCGAAAGCAUGGGGAGCAAACAGGAUUAGAAACCCUGGUAGUCC